ensembl:lncRNA
CCCCACGUCCCCACCACCCACAAGGGACAGUUAUUAUUCCUUUAUUUGCCUGUUUUCUAACUAUAACACGUAACAUGGUACAGAGAAAGCUGAGGUCCCCUCAUUCCUCCAGCCUGAGUCCCACCUUCUCCCUGUGCUGUGACAGCUGAGAAGAUCACUCUUGAAUUUCACUUUUGUUAUUUUCAGCCCUCCAUGUUUCAAAUAGGUAAUUCAUUCACUCAUUUCAAAAUUCCAAAGGCACCAAGGGUAGACAGGAGGAAGGCCCUCGCUCCCACUCUGCACGGCAGCAGGUCUGCACGUAUGAAGCCAGGAGCCGCAGGCGGCCAGUCUUCAAGCAGCACGUCCCCAGCAGGUGGUGGAAUGGAGGUUGUCACUGGGCUCCAGCUGUGUUUCCUUUGCAGGAACGCCAUCUUUAGUGGCCAUGUCACGUGUCCAUCAUUAUUAGGAUUAGGUGUCGUUGAGAGAGACAGAAACUCCAAGCAGCAGCAGCUUAAACAAAGUACAUGUGUAUUUCUCUCUUACAUGGAUAAAGUCUUGGGGUAGGAGGCCGAAAGCUGGUAGGGUGGUUCCAUAGUCAUCAGAGACCUACCUUAUUGCUCUCCCAUCCUCGACACAAGGCUUCUACUUCAUGGUGCAAUAAGGCUGCUUGACCUCCAGCCAUCACAUCCCCAUUCUAGCCAUUAGGUAAGAAGGGCCCACUGCUUCCCUUUUAGGAUGUCUCCCAAAGCUGCAAGUGUCAUCUUCUCUUGCAUUCUUGGCCAGAGUUGAAUGGUGUAGCCAUCUCUCACUGUGAGGAGCUGGGAAGCGUAGUCUUGACCCUGGCUGGCUGUGCUCCCGCUGAUACUUGGAGGCUCCAUUGCUGACAAAGGAGGCGAUAAUAUCAAAGGAGGCGAUAAAUACCAAGGGACGACAGGCAGGCUCUACUCUGAGCCUGAGCUGUAUUUGGAGGGGACAAUCCCCUCCCACGUGGAGUGCACCGUGCCGAUGGCAGAGGCCCCGGCCAGGCUCUGGAGACCCUCCCAACAGCCCUCCUGACAGCCCCAGGGGCCACGGGGAGCUCGGCUGGCACCGCUGCCAGGCAGGAACCUAGGGCCAGGCCCUCGGGGGCACGGGCGCUGCACCAGUGCUCCGCCAGGCCGCGAGCUCCCCGCGAAGGGGAGCACGUGGGUCCCCACGCUGCUGCUCAUGGUCUAUGGAGGGCCGGGCCUGAGGGGAAGCGCAGGGACCGCCCAGCUGCUGGGCCCCUGGGGCCGGCUGUUUGCAGGCCGGGUCAGCGGCAGCGCCGGAGAAAUGGCGGUGUGGCGACUUCCCACGGAGAGCCGGCGUCCCAUGGCUGGUGGGCGGGAACCCCGCACCUGCCUGCGGUGGGGGGUCCCGGGGGCACGGGGAGGCGCUGAGAGAGGGGUGGCAGGGCCAGGAGAGCUGAGAUGCGGGCUGUCAGCAGAGCAUCAGAAGGGCAGCCUGGUCCCCGGGGGGCUUUCUGGGGCUCACUGAAGCCAAGAGGGUGCCCCUGAGCUCCCACUGCCCUGGACGGACUGCAGGGGAGCCGGCAAGGAUGGAGGCUGGCCGCCCUGGC